rnacentral:tRNA from 1 species
AGGCACGUAGCUCAGUGGGAGAGCGCUUCCCUGACACGGAAGAAGUCGGCGGUUCAAUCCCGCCCGUGCCUACCA